rnacentral:lncRNA from 1 species
GGGCGGGGAAGAGGUGUAAUGACGGGUAUCUGCCCCGGACCUCAGGGACGUGCCACCUACUACCAUCCGUAGUAGCAGGGUGUGCCACGCGAGCUGACGAACAGCACGAAGUGCCGCAGCGCAUGCGCGGAUGUGCACAUGUGUGCAGCUGGCAAUCGCAACUUGAGGUGCUGUGUGAAUUGCAUCGCGUUGUGCUGCAGAUUCAUAACAUGCUUUGGGGAUAGAUGCGAUGGGACGGGGUAAGUGGCAGUAUUGCGUAGUCCCGUAGUGUGUAUUCCGAGACCUUGAAAUGGUCAGAGGUAACGGUGCAAGUGCGGCCGGCAAGGCCCAUUCCUUUUCGGCUCUAGGCAGAAACAAGUAAUGGGCUGAAGUGACGCAGGAUGGGUGGCCAGUCUGGUCGGUAGGGUGGCCGGUGUUAUCUCAGGCUUGACUGCCAACAGCCCGAUAGUAAUUGCAUGAGUUCGAGUCUGCUUUGUGAACGUGUACAGGAUGCGUAAGACGGGCUAGAUGCAGCAGGCCAGCCCCCAUCACCCCGUGAGGGGCCGCGAUCAGUAGCCCUUACCUUGAUAAUGUAUGGAAAUGGACGGUCUUAACUCUUCACUGUCCCACUGAGUACAAUGCUAUUUCUCCCCCUGGCUGCCCCUGGCAGCCGUCAGCCCCAGGGAGACCCCGUGGGGAGACCCCCUGGUCCGCCCGGAGUUUGAUCUUUCUGUUGACAGCUGCAAUAGCGGGGGAAUUGUGUGCAGCCGGGUAGUGUACAUUUUAAAAUAUGACAAUACCAGAAAUAUCAAUUUUAUGGGGUAAGUACAGGGCAGGCAGCGACAGUCCCUCGUUUCACAAACCUUCGCUAGUCCCUCCUUGAGGUGAAUUAUGGACGAAAUAACAAUGUUGAGCACUCCUUGAGCUCGCACUGUCGGGUUUGUGCUGGUAAAAUGGAGGGCCCUGCCCGGCCUGGCCCCCCGAACGCAGCAGCAGGUGCGAGCUGCUCCCUCGCGGAGCGCCCUUCGACCCAGACAAAUGCAUAUGUAGCACCAUGCGUAUGCAACUCCCAGCAGCAGCUGCUCGCCCUCCCACCAUAGUCUCUCAUUGUUUUCCGCCUUGCCGCGUGUUCUGAAACCAGGCUGUCGCUGGGAGAGGCUCCCGCUGCUGGCCCAGGCGCUCGUUGCGUCCCACGCCGGCGUCCGCACGGCCGCCGCCGACCUCGCGCGCUGCAGCUGGGCCUGUGCGGAGGCGGUGCGCGCCGCGCUCGCCUCCCCGCAGCACCUGGCGCGGGCGGUGCGCGUGGACCGCGGCCCCUCCGCCCCGCUGUUGGGAUGGCUGCUGGAGCACGGCUCCGCCAUGCCGCCGCUCAAGCUCUACGCGUACGACUCAUGCGCCCCCGGCACCCCUGUGAGGGAGGUGGUGUUGCACGGCCCCUGGGGCGAGUGGCGUGUGCACGGCCUGGAGGCCAAGCCGGGCAUGACCACGCGCGAGUUGGGGGUGAGCGCGCCACGCUUAGCUGCUGCAUGCAUCGCCCGCCAGGGUUGGUGCGCAUGAUGACCCUGUCCUGUCCAUACUUGCUUGAAUACCGCCCAGGCAUGAUGCCGGGGGGCUGUUGCUCUGGGUGGGUGGCGCCUCGCCUAGGCCCGCAGCUCUGCCCGGCUGCCCAGCAAGCCCUGGGCGCCCUGUCUUACACGCACUUGCCGGUAUUUACUACCUCCCAUACGGCAUGUGUUGAACAGCAUGCGUGUCGUGCCGCACGCACACACCUGUGUGUGUGUGUGUGUGUGUAUGUGUUCCGCGCCCCCCUGCAGGACCUGGCUGCUGCCCGGCUGCCGCGGCGCCACAGGCACCAGCACGCGGGCCAUUUCCGCCUGGUGGUCGACGGCAGGAAGCAGCCGCAGCGGCUCAUGCUGGACGUGGCCCAGGAGGGGCUGCUGGGCGGCGGCGCGGCGCUGCACAUGCGCGGCUGGCCCCCGGCGCCCGGCCCCAACAGCAGCGGCAGCCAGUCUGUGGUCCUGAGGCCGCUGUACGUGAAGACGCUGACGGGCAAGACCAUCACGCUGCAGGACGUGCACUCCGACCUGGACGUGUACGACCUGAAGUGCAUGGUGCGUUACUGUUACAGUUAUAGUUUGCAGUUAUGAUUAUAGCUGCAGUGUUUCAUUAGUUGGUGCCCAGUAUGUGGGGAACGCGGGCAGUGGCUGUCCAUGCAUGCCUCCUGCCAGUGCCGGUGGCUUGUGCUGCUCCCACGUUCAACGCGCCGUUACCGGCCCCGAGCCCCUACUGACGGUUUGCUCCUGCUGCUUCUACUAUACCGCUGCUGCUGCCGUCUGCUGCGGUCGCCCACAGAUUGACGAGCUAGAGGGCAUCCCACCGGACGAGCAGCGGCUCGUCUUCGCGGGCAGGCAGCUCGAGGACGCUGACACCCUGGCGUCCUACAACAUCUCAAAGGAGUCCACCCUGCAUCUCAUCCUGAGGCUGGGCCACCCAGGCGUGGCGAUCCAGGUGUCAUGAGGGGCGGCGGCUGGCGGCGGGAGUGGCGGGUGGGUGCUGGCGGGUGCGGUGGAUGUGGUGGCGGGUGGCGGGCGGCGGGUGGUGGGUGAUUGCCUGCUGUGGGCGCGGCUGAAGGGGUGGCGGGGCGGUGGCGGAGCGGUGGCGGGGUAGUGGCAGGGAGGUGGUGACUGGCCGGGGGAGGGGUGACAUUCAUGUUCUUAUCAGGAAAAGGGGGCGGGGAAGAGGUAGGUGUAAUGACGGGUAUCUGCCCCGGACCUCUGGGACGUGCCACCUACUACCAUCCGUAGUAGCAGGGUGUGCCACGCGAGCUGACGAACAGCACGAAGUGCCGCAGCGCAUGCGCGGAUGUGCACAUGUGUGCAGCUGGCAAUCGCAACUUGAGGUGCUGUGUGAAUUGCAUCGCGUUGUGCUGCAGAUUCAU